rnacentral:rRNA from 1 species
UACGUAGGGGGCAAGCGUUGUCCGGAUUUAUUGGGCGUAAAGAGCGUGUAGGCGGCCAGGCAGGUCCGCUGUGAAAACUCGAGGCUCAACCUCGAGAGGUCGGUGGAAACCGUCUGGCUAGAGUCCGGAAGAGGAGAGUGGAAUUCCCGGUGUAGCGGUGAAAUGCGCAGAUAUCGGGAAGAACACCUAUGGCGAAGGCAGCUCUCUGGGACGGUACUGACGCUGAGACGCGAAAGCGUGGGGAGCGAACAGG